AGUGGGGAAUAUUGCACAAUGGAGGAAACUCUGAUGCAGCAUCGCCGCGUGGAGGAUGACGCAUUUCGGUGUGUAAACUCCUUUUAUAUAGGAAGAUAAUGACGGUACUAUAUGAAUAAGCACCGGCUAACUCCGUGCCAGCAGCCGCGGUAAUACGGAGGGUGCAAGCGUUACUCGGAAUCACUGGGCGUAAAGCGCAUGCAGGCGGUUUAUUAAGUUGGAAGUGAAAUCCUAUGGCUCAACCAUAGAACUGCUUCCAAAACUGAUAAACUAGAGUCUGGGAGGGGAAGAUGGAAUUAGUAGUGUAGGGGUAAAAUCCGUAGAGAUUACUAGGAAUACCAAAAGCGAAGGCGAUCUUCUGGAACAGUACUGACGCUGAGAUGCGAAAGCGUGGGGAGCAAACAGGAUUAGAUACCCUGGUAGUCCACGCAGUAAACGAUGAAUGUUAGUCGUUGGGACUCUAGUAGUUUCAGUGAUGCAGUUAACACAUUAAACAUUCCGCCUGGGGAGUACGGUCGCAAGAUUAAAACUCAAAGGAAUAGACGGGGACCCGCACAAGUGGUGGAGCAUGUGGUUUAAUUCGAAGAUACGCGAAGAACCUUACCUAGCCUUGACAUACUACAGAAUUUGACAGAGAUGUUGAAGUGCCUUCGGGAGCUGUAAUACAGGUGCUGCACGGCUGUCGUCAGCUCGUGUCGUGAGAUGUUGGGUUAAGUCCCGCAACGAGCGCAACCCUCGUCCUUAGUUACUAACGGUUCGGCCGAGGACUCUAAGGAGACUGCCUUCGUAAGGAGGAGGAAGGUGAGGACGACGUCAAGUCAUCAUGGCCCUUACGGCUAGGGCAACACACGUGCUACAAUGGUUAGGACAAUGAGAAGCGAUACCGUGAGGUGGAGCAAAUCUAUAAACCUAAUCUCAGUUCGGAUAGCAGUCUGCAACUCGACUGCUUGAAGCUGGAAUCACUAGUAAUCGUAAAUCAGCUAUGUUACGGUGAAUACGU
rnacentral:rRNA from 1 species